rnacentral:pre_miRNA from 1 species
AAAGUACUCCCUCCAUCCCAAAAUUCUUGUCUUAGAUUUGUCUAGAUACGGAUGUAUCAAGUCACAUUUUAGUAUUAGAUACAUCUGUAUCUAGACAAAUCUAAGAAAAGAAAUUUGGGACAGAGGGAGUAGUUG